GAUUUAAAGAAUACCUACAUGUUUUUUUGUGACGGGAGAUAUGGACCUAAUUUAAAGACAGAUAAGUAAUAUUGGAGAUUAAUUAUUUUGACUAUAAAGUCAAAAUAAUUAAUCUCCAAUAUUACGAUUU